rnacentral:rRNA from 1 species
UACGUAGGAUGCAAGCGUUGUCCGGAUUUACUGGGUGUAAAGGGUGCGCAGGCGGAGAAGUAAGUCAGAGGUGAAAGCCUACAGCUCAACUGUAGAACUGCCUUUGAUACUGCUUCCCUUGAGUAUGGUAGAGGUCGGCGGAAUUCCCGGUGUAGCAGUGAAAUGCGUAGAUAUCGGGAGGAACACCAGUGGCGAAGGCGGCCGGCUGGACCAUAACUGACGCUCAUGCACGAAAGUGUGGGGAUCAAACAGGAUUAGAUACCCUGGUAGUCCACACUGUAAACGAUGUAUGCUUGGUGUUGGCUUCGUAGGAAGUCAGUGCCGGAGGUAACCUGUUAAGCAUACCACCUGGGGAGUACGAUCGCAAGGUUGAA